AUAUCUUCUACACGUUUCAACAAUAUAUUCUGCACGUUUUGCUUACGACGAAACAACGAAUGCGAAUGGUUUGUUGAAAUAAACGAAGCCUCGUUAUAAUAUGUCGCUAUCAACUGUUACCAAGGCGCCACCGAGUCCAUUGGAAAAGAAUGUUGUCUUACAUCAUCAAUUUAUUAUUAUCUUGCCAUUAUAUGCUUCGAAUAAUAAAAAUACUCCAGUGGCGUCCUGAGCGAAACAUGUGAUUUCGGCAUGGCAAUCA
rnacentral:misc_RNA from 1 species